GAUGAACGCUGGCGGCAUGCCUAACACAUGCAAGUCGAGCGGCAGCGAGGGGUGCUUGCACCCUGUCGGCGAGCGGCGGACGGCUGAGUAACGCGUGGGAACGUGCGCCAAAGUGAGGAAUAACUGCCCGAAAGGGUAGCUAAUACCGCAUAUUAUGUUCGGAUCAAAGGAUUUAUCCGCUUUGGGAGCGGCUCGCGUCGGAUUAGGUAGUUGGUGAGGUAAGGGCUCACCAAGCCGACGAUCCGUAGCUGGUCUGAGAGGAUGACCAGCCAGACUGGAACUGAGACACGGUCCAGACUCCUACGGGAGGCAGCAGUGAGGAAUCUUCCACAAUGGGCGAAAGCAUGAUGGAGCAACGCCGCGUGCAGGACGAAGGCCUUCGGGUUGUAAACUGCUUUUAUAAGUGAGGAAUAUGACGGUAACUUAUGAAUAAGGAUCGGCUAACUACGUG
rnacentral:rRNA from 1 species